rnacentral:misc_RNA from 1 species
UCCCCGUUAUCCGAGGCGGUUUCGCUAGAGUGCCCAGCUUGACCUGAUGGCAACUAACGAUAAGGGUUGCGCUCGUUGCGGGACUUAACCCAACAUCUCACGACACGAGCUGACGACAGCCAUGCAGCACCUCCGCAGCAGUUCUUGCGAAAAGGGAUAUUUCUACCCCGGUCCACUGCGCUUCGAGCCCAGGUAAGGUGGGGAUGACGUCACACAGACUAUAC